GGGGGUACAGCUCAGUGGUAAAGCAUGUGCUUAGAAUGCACAAGGCCCUGGGUUCAGUCCCUAGCACACCUC
rnacentral:tRNA from 1 species